rnacentral:lncRNA from 7 species
AAAACCUUUUUAUUUAUUCAAUUAAUAACAACUCUGUUACUUUUAUCUAAGAAGGAUAAAAAUAUUUAAUGAUAUUGACUAUCACUGUUCUAUGCCAUGGUAAUAAAAACAAAUCAGUAGAUGGAUGCUUCACUAAGCAAUGUUAAUUAUAUUUACAGUGAAAUAAUCAUCUAGUAACUGUGCUAAGCCAGUCCAGCCACACAAACUGUAUGUAAUGCCAUGUAAUUUAACUCCAGUAUGAUGUUAUGAAGCAGCAAAGUCAUGUACAGUUCAAGCUAAAGAAGCAUAAGAGAUUGCAAAACCACUUCUAAAAACAUUCAGCUUACACAAAUUUGCAACACCUUUCAUUUUACCUGCUCUAAUGAGAUAAAGCUAUAUAGAUAUGCCAAAGAAAAAGUGCCUGAGUUGAGAUCCGAUGCUAUUUGAGAAAUAUACAAGACUACCAAUAAUAAUUGUACACUAAAUGAUGAAAAUAAGAGAAAAAUAAGAUGCAUAGAAAAGAUCCCAGCACAUCUAGCAUCAAUAGAUUAAGACAUGAGACUCCAAUCAUACAGAAAAUUGAUUCCUUCUAAGCAGUGCCUAAGAAAGCUAUACCAUUAAAAAAAACUACUCUUGCAGGAUGUGAAGGCUGAACAUAUACAGAAACAAUGGAUCAUUACUCAUACACAAACCCCACAGUUCACAAGGACAGUAAGUACAGUUCAUUUUCAAAAUAGCAUUGUAUCAUUUUCAAUAACACAGAAGCUCUGAGAUCCAUCUACUCAAUUUGGAAAAAGGUUUUAAGCUAGUUUAUGUUAGGAGCUGUACGACUGUAAGAGGAUCAAGAAAGUAAGAUCUGCUUCCUUUAAAAUGCAUUUUAUACUGAAUUAAAUCUGCACUGUCUUUUUCUUUUCCAAUUUAAUCUCAACUGUGAGACAUACAAUGAUUCAGUAAUAAACAUGACUGGUUGACUUUGUGAUAUUAUAUGAAUUGUCAUAAAGAAUGCUUUCUAGUUGAAUUAACGUGACAGGUAUGUAACAGAUUCUGCAAAAAUAAAGUCACAAUAUGCCAUAAUAUUUCACGAAUGACAAGCUGUACUCUAAUUACUGCUUAUACUGAAAUUCUAAACAACCAUUUUCAUAUAUUUACUUUGCUAAGCAAUCUAUUAUUUCAGUGCACCCUAUGCUGAAAAUGCAGCCUGGUUAGAAAGCAAAACAGUGAUAGAUUUAUCUUUCAUACUUAUCAGAAAAAUGUCAAGAGCUAACAUGAUAAAUUAAACAGCUGGCAAAUCACAGAAAACUCUGGAAAGGAUUUGCAAACAGAACCAAAUGUACAAAUAAAUGUUUAUAUUUAUUUCUAUGUUUUAUUCUUAAUAGUUAAAAAUAUUUACCUGAAGUACUUCUUCACUUCUUAGAACUGAAGCAACUCUUUUUGCUUAUGCAAAUCAAACCUCAACAUAUUGUAAAGUGAGAAGGAGAAGGGUCUUCCUAGUAAUCGUUUUUGAGACAAGGCUUUAAGUUCUCCCAAGGAACAGUUGUCAUAACAAGGGGAAGAGUAAAAGUCUUAUCAAAUGAUGUAGUAGUCUUCUGCUCAUACAUGUAUUUCACAGUACCAGCCAAAUUUUGAUAACAGGCUUAACUCUUCAGAAAACAUCUGCUUUCCUCCAUCAGUUCUCCACUUCCUGGGUUCAUGAUGUCGACUCCAUGACUUCCUCAUCUGCAGCAAGCAUUGCCCACUAAAACGGCGCAUGGGAAGCCCCUCUUGCACUGUCACUUGUCUGGCUGGCUCCCCCUACCUGCAUAGGUAGGUUCCAGUGGCACACUUCUCACCAAGGUUCCUUGCUUUCAGAAUGUAUGCUCAGGGAGCCUUCAGCAAACAAUCUUCCCAGGAGAACGAAUGCAGCCUAACACAUGGCAAAAGCGCAGCAGCCAUCUCCUCACAGCACCGGUUUCCUAAAGGUGUAAGCCACCACAUUUACUAAGGAGAAAUGCACAGAAUUCACAACGAUGGGAAAAAAGAAAGCAAAUAAAACAGCACGAUUGCACCAUAGCUGGAAGAGCAGGGGGCUAAACACUGCAAAUGCCCACAGCGCCCAGCUGCAGUGCAGCAGACAG